UGAGGUAAUCGAUAGGUUGAUCCUUUCAAUUGAUUUCCUCUCAAUCGUUAAAAGAGUGGCAUAUACUAUAGCACCAAAUUUUACUACCAGCAGCUAUAGUUCGUGAUACGCUGAUGCUGUAUGUAUGUACAUGGAGUAUCAUUUCGGAGCAGAGAUCUUCAACUUUGUGUGAUAAAUCAAUCUAUCGAUUGUUCCAUUAAUGUAAUCAUACUGUUCCCUAAUUUAUCAUCACCAAUUAUUAUUGGUGAUUAUACUUUAUUCCCCCUCUGUGAGCUCGAACUAGUGGUAUUUCGAUGAUCAAAAAGUGCAUCAGUGUUGACAUUAACCUCAAUCCAGUGCGGUAGUAGUGCAUGACGAUUCAAUAAACUAAAUAAAAUUUCGGGAAGGGUCUGGUGAACAGUCGAAAAAUCAUCCCUUUUUGCAUUCAACUUCUAACAAGCAGCUGUUUUAUGAACUAUCGAACUUCCUGUAACAAUGGGUAUUUUUCUGGAUGUGGCUCUCGAAUUAUUAUUUGGAACGUGGUUGGAGAAGAGGAAUGAAAAACACGAAAAAUGCAUCAUGAAACAUUGAAAGACUCGGGGAGUUUGAAAAGCAUAUAAUUUAUUUAUGUAAAACCGGUUCACUUCGCUCCGAAUUCAAUGAAAUAAUACUUGGAAACCUA